GUGCUUGUUUCAGCAGCACAUAGACUAAAAUUGGAAUGAUACAGAGAAGAUUAGCAUGGCCCCAGUGCAAGGAUGACAAAUUCAUGAAGCAUUCUAUAAUUUU
rnacentral:snRNA from 1 species